GACGAACGCUGGCGGCGUGCUUAACACAUGCAAGUCGAACGGAAAGGCCCUGCUUUUGUGGGGUGCUCGAGUGGCGAACGGGUGAGUAACACGUGAGUAACCUGCCCUUGACUUUGGGAUAACUUCAGGAAACUGGGGCUAAUACCGGAUAGGAGCUCCUGCUGCAUGGUGGGGGUUGGAAAGUUUCGGCGGUUGGGGAUGGACUCGCGGCUUAUCAGCUUGUUGGUGGGGUAGUGGCUUACCAAGGCUUUGACGGGUAGCCGGCCUGAGAGGGUGACCGGCCACAUUGCGACUGCGAUACGGCCCAGACUCCUACGGGAGGCAGCAGUGGGGAAUAUUGCACAAUGGGCGGAAGCCUGAUGCAGCAACGCCGCGUGCGGGAUGACGGCCUUCGGGUUGUAAACCGCUUUCGCCUGUGACGAAGCGUGAGUGACGGUAAUGGGUAAAGAAGCACCGGCUAACUACGUG
rnacentral:rRNA from 1 species